GAUGAUGGUUUUCCAGUUUAGAUAUUUGGUUGAGUCCUAAGAGAGCGCUUACAGGCCUCGCCUCUCUCAAACAUCAGGGAUUUUUCAUCCAAAGCAAGUCCGACUUCAAGCUUGCGAGAACGUCGACAGUCUCCGAAUAAAAUUUUUGAUCGAACCCUUGGCGAGCAUUAAACUAAGCUUCACUUCGACGACAACUAGAUUGAUAUCGGGACUCGACGGCAGCACAACACCACCACGAGAUGGAGGCAAACUGGUACGACGGCUUAGGACAUGUGAGGAGGCUGACGAGAUCCGAGCUGGGGAAAAAGAACACAUGACUGGGCGUUAACGGCCGGGUCCGAACUCGAGGGAGAAACUCGACCGGCGAGCUGGAGCGAGCUAGGCACACCACGAUUUGAGGAAGCUGCGUGCAGAAAAACGUGCGCGCAGGGACGAGCUCGACAGGGAUCUUGGCGAGACCACGGCGCUGGAAGUCGAGCGCAAUCCGAGCUGGGCGAGCUGCACCAAGGAGCAGCAGCCGGCCAUGGGAGGUGGUGGCCAAGCAAGCUGGGGAUGGCCGACGGCGCUGGGGCUGGACGCGCUGGAUACCGAGCGCGAACAGGAAGAAGCGGAGGCCGAGCUGGGCACCGGCGCGCGUCAUGGGAGAGAGCAGAGCGAGAUCCGGCCAGGAAAUUGGCGAGCUGGGAGAUGGAGCCGAGAGGGCUGCGCAGCGGUCAGGCGAGCUGGGCAAGACCUCGGCUGGGCGGACCAUGGCGGACAGAAACAACGAGGCAGCUCGACGUGCUCAGCUGCCGUGGGAGAUAAGACCGGCGGCAAGGCAAGAAAUAUCCCAGGCGGAG
rnacentral:misc_RNA from 1 species